GGGUAGUUUGACUGGGGCGGUCUCCUCCCAAAGAGUAACGGAGGAGCACGAAGGUGGGCUAAUCACGGUUGGACAUCGUGAGGUUAGUGCAAUGGCAUAAGCCCGCUUAACUGCGAGAAUGACGGUUCGAGCAGGUGCGAAAGCAGGUCAUAGUGAUCCGGUGGUUCUGUAUGGAAGGGCCAUCGCUCAACGGAUAAAAGGUACUCCGGGGAUAACAGGCUGAUACCGCCCAAGAGUUCAUAUCGACGGCGGUGUUUGGCACCUCGAUGUCGGCUCAUCACAUCCUGGGGCUGAAGUCGGUCCCAAGGGUAUGGCUGUUCGCCAUUUAAAGUGGUACGCGAGCUGGGUUUAGAACGUCGUGAGACAGUUCGGUCCCUAUCUGCCGUGGGCGUUGGAAGAUUGAAGGGGGCUGCUCCUAGUACGAGAGGACCGGAGUGGACGAACCUCUGGUGUUCGGGUUGUGUCGCCAGACGCAUUGCCCGGUAGCUAAGUUCGGAAUUGAUAAGCGCUGAAAGCAUCUAAGCGCGAAGCGAGCCCUGAGAUGAGUCUUCCCUGAUACUUUAAGUAUCCUAAAGGGUUGUUCGAGACUAGAACGUUGAUAGGCAGGGUGUGUAAGCGUUGUGAGGCGUUGAGCUAACCUGUACUAAUUGCCCGUGAGGCUUAACCAU
rnacentral:rRNA from 1 species